rnacentral:rRNA from 1 species
UACGGAGGGUGCAAGCGUUGUCCGGAUUUAUUGGGUUUAAAGGGUGCGUAGGCGGUCUUUUAAGUCAGUGGUGAAAGCCUCCAGCUUAACUGGAGAAAUGCCAUUGAUACUGGAAGACUUGAGUACAGACGAGGUAGGCGGAAUUGACAGUGUAGCGGUGAAAUGCAUAGAUAUUGUCAAGAACACCGAUUGCGAAGGCAGCUUACUAGACUGUAACUGACGCUGAGGCACGAAAGUGUGGGGAUCAAACAGG